CACGAGUGUAUGUGGUUAGAACUUUAAAUUACGUUUAGACGUUUAUGAACCGAAAAUAAAGCGUUUUUAAUGGACAUAUUUACUAAUAAAAUAAAUAAAUUGCAAGAUGUGUUUUCUGUUAUUGGUUGCGACAAAAUUAAUUUUCCUCAAAUUGUGCUUGUGGGAACGCAGAAUUCUGGUAAAAGCUCAGUGUUAGAAAGCUUAGUUGGCAAGUCUUUUCUACCUAAGGGGAUUGGAAUGGCUACCAAAGCUCCGUUGGUUUUACAAAGAAUAAGGUACAGUAAUCAAGAUUACGAAGAAUUAUUAAAAAAAACUGGGAAAAAAACAGUUGAUGAAUGGGUUAUAUUUGAUGACAAGCCAAACGAAAUAUUAUUCGAUUUUGAUGCAGUUCACGAUGAAAUCAAAAAAAGAACUAAUCAAAUAACUGGCAACAAUAAAUGUUUAACCCGUGAACAAAUCGUUCUGAAAUUAUACACACGCCACUACAACUUGACGUUUAUUGAUCUACCAGGUAUGAAAACAAUUUCAGAGGAUAAUCAACAACAAGAUCUCGAUCAACAAUACAUUUCUAAAUUAAUAUCACACUACACGGAACAACCUAAUUCUAUAGUAUUGUUUAUCCUAUCGGCUCAUGAAAUUAAUAAUCAUGCUAAUAAUGAAAAUCUUAAAAUUGCGAAUUCUUUUAUAGGAAGAACUAUAGCCGUAGUCACAAAGUUAGAUUUAGUCGAUAGGAGUACAUUAAUAGAUAGUAUAAAUAUAUUGGGUAGGAUACUAAAUACAAGCACACGGAAACCAAGAUAUUAAUAGAAAAAACUCCAUUAAAGAGACUUUGAGGUAUGAAAAACAAUUUUUAAGAGACAAUUAUCCCGAUAUUUAUAAAAAUCAUGGCCACAGAUCAUUGGUCUGCCUCCUGCAGCAGAAAUUAAUUGAUCACAUUAAUGAAACGUACCCAGAAUUACAGAAAAAUUUUUACAGUUUUAGAAGUAAAUUAGUUAAUGAUCUCAGGAUCUUCGAAACGCCAGUCAAUAAGGUUUCAUUUGUUUUGAAACUAUUAAAGGAUAUGUCCAUAUCGUAUUGUGAAACAAUUAAUGGUGAUCAGAAAAAUAUAUCGGAACAGGAAGUGAUUGGUGGAGCUAAAAUCCAAAAUAGAAUAAAUGAUUUUAUUUUUGAAAUUAAUAUUAUUGAUCCAAUAAUUAACACAAGUAACGAAAAAAUAGAUACAAUUUUAAAAAACACAUCAGCGACUAAUGAAAGUUUUUUCAUGAAUGAAAAAACUUUAAAAAUAUUGAUCAGUAGUAAAAUAAAUCUGUUAGUAAACCCAUCAUUAAACUGUGUAAAGUAUGUGUACGAUGAAAUGUUAAAAAUGUUUGAUACCAUCGAUCAAGACAUUUUAGAGAAGUUAGCAAGAUUUCCCCGACUUAAUAAAGAUGUAAGAAAAGUUCAUGAAGAAAUUUUGAACGAAACGUUAGACGAUGUUCAAUAUUUCAUUCAAUCAUUCAUUGAAACGUACCAGGAGAGUAUUGAUUUAUACAACUCUGAUUUCAUUGACAAUGUUUUACAUAAUUAUAUUAAUCCGAAAACGCAAUUGAAGAUUUCAAUUCAUGCUGCAGAACUCAUAUGUAUGACAUAAUGACCAACAUAAGUGAUAAGGAAGAUCUUAAAAUGUUGGGAAAAUAUUACUUCGAACUCAUUUGAAGGAGUGUGCGAGAUUUCGUACCCAAACGCAUUAAACAUAAGAUGUUACAGACAGUUUUGACCACUUAUGAGAAUCGUAUGCACCAGGAAGUGUUCGUGCCAUACAUGACGGAAAAAGCAUUCGACCAUGUUCUAUUUGAAGAUGAAAGCUUAAAAAAGUUAAAAAAGUUAAAGCUUAAAAUGUUUUUUCUAAAGACAAAAGAAAUGUUAAA